rnacentral:rRNA from 1 species
CCUACGGGAGGCAGCAGUGGGGAAUAUUGGGCAAUGGGCGCAAGCCUGACCCAGCAACGCCGCGUGAAGGAAGAAGGCUUUCGGGUUGUAAACUUCUUUUCUCAGGGACGAAGAAAGUGACGGUACCGGAGGAAUAAGCCACGGCUAACUACGUGCCAGCAGCCGCGGUAAUACGUAGGUGGCAAGCGUUAUCCGGAUUUACUGGGUGUAAAGGGCGUGUAGGCGGGAAAGCAAGUCAGAUGUGAAAACCACGGGCUCAACCUGUGGCCUGCAUUUGAAACUGUUUUUCUUGAGUACUGGAGAGGCAGACGGAAUUCCUAGUGUAGCGGUGAAAUGCGUAGAUAUUAGGAGGAACACCAGUGGCGAAGGCGGUCUGCUGGACAGCAACUGACGCUGAGGCGCGAAAGCGUGGGGAGCAAACAGGAUUAGAUACCCUGGUAGUC